rnacentral:rRNA from 1 species
UACGGGGGGGGGCAAGCGUUGUUCGGAAUUACUGGGCGUAAAGGGCUCGUAGGCGCCAACUAAGUCGGACGUGAAAUCCCUCAGCUUAACUGGGGACUGCGUCCGAUACUGGAUGGCUUGGAUUUGGGAGAGGGAUGCGGAAUUCCAGGUGUAGCGGUGAAAUGCGUAGAUAUCAGGAGGAACACCGGUGGCGAAGGCGGGUCUCUGGGCCAACACUGACGCUCAUGCACGAAAGCGUGGGGAGCAAACAGG